GAUGAACGCUAGCGGCAGGCCUAACACAUGCAAGUCGAGGGAGAAGCCCUUUCGGGGACAGAAACCGGCGCACGGGUGCGUAACGCGUAUGCAACCUACCUUUCACAGGGGGAUAGCCCGAAGAAAUUUGGAUUAAUACCCCAUAAUAUUAUUGGAUGGCAUCAUUUGAUAAUUAAAACUGCGGUGGUGAAAGAUGGGCAUGCGUCCUAUUAGCUAGUUGGAGUGGUAACGGCACCCCAAGGCUACGAUAGGUAGGGGUCCUGAGAGGGAGAUCCCCCACACUGGUACUGAGACAGGGACCAGACUCCUACGGGAGGCAGCAGUGAGGAAUAUUGGUCAAUGGUCGGAAGACUGAACCAGCCAUGCCGCGUGCAGGAAGAAUGCCUUAUGGGUUGUAAACUGCUUUUAUAUGGGAAGAAUAAGGCGUACGUGUACGUUGAUGACGGUACCAUAUGAAUAAGCAUCGGCUAACUCCGUG
rnacentral:rRNA from 1 species